UACGGAGGGUGCGAGCGUUGUCCGGAAUCACUGGGCGUAAAGGGCGCGUAGGCGGCGCGGGCAGUCAACGGUGAAAGCUCGGGGCUCAACCCCGAGUCGGCCGUCGAUACUCCCGUGCUCGAGCACUGUAGAGGCAGGUGGAAUUCCGGGUGUAGCGGUGGAAUGCGCAGAUAUCAGGAGGAACACCGAUGGCGAAGGCAGGUCACUGGGCCGCAACUGACGCUGAGGAGCGAAAGCAUGGGGAGCGAACAGG
rnacentral:rRNA from 1 species